rfam:Candidatus Rickettsia amblyommii str. GAT-30V, complete genome.
UCAGUUUUACGGCAGCCCUAGAAUUGAUUUGCGUUAAAGCCUGAACUGAUCCUUUACCGAAAGACUUAGUGCCAAGUAUUAUUGCUCUUUUAUGAUCUUGCAAAGCUCCGGCAACUAUUUCCGAGGCAGAGGCAGAAUUACCGUUUAUUAAAACUAUCAUAGGUACUUUGGGAGCUUUUAAUGAAAACUCAUUUGCUUUAGUUUCACUAUUACUUAAUGUAGUUCUACCUUUUGUUGUUACAAUUACACCGGAAUCAAUAAAAUAAUCACUAACAGCAAUAGCUUGAUCGAGUAUACCUCCGGCAUUAUUACGUAA